CCUCGUCUUAUGUUGCCAGCACGUAAUGGUGGGGACUCAUAAGAGACUGCCGGGGUCAACUCGGAGGAAGGUGGGGAUGACGUCAAUUCAUCAUGCCCCUUAUGCCUAGGGCUUCACGCAUGCUACAAUGGCCGGUACAAAGGGCUGCGAAAUCGCAAGAUGGAGCGAAUCCCAAAAAGCCGGUCUCAGUUCGGAUUGGGGUCUGCAACUCGACCCCAUGAAGUCGGAGUCGCUAGUAAUCGCAGAUCAGCAACGCUGCGGUGAAUACGUUCCCGGGCCUUGUACACACCGCCCGUCACGUCACGAAAGUUGGCAACACCCGAAGCCGGUGGCCCAACCCUUGUGGAGGGAGCCGUCGAAGGUGGGGCGAGCGAUUGGGACGAAGUCGUAACAAGGUAGCCGUACCGGAA
rnacentral:rRNA from 1 species